CCUACGGGAGGCAGCAGUGGGGAAUAUUGCGCAAUGGGCGAAAGCCUGACGCAGCGACGCCGCGUGAGGGAUGAAGGUCUUCGGAUCGUAAACCUCUGGCAGCAGGGAAGAACGGUCACUGGGCUAAGCAGCAGUGAAUUGACGGUACCGGCAAAGGAAGCACCGGCUAACUCCGUGCCAGCAGCCGCGGUAAUACGGAGGGGGCGAGCGUUAAUCGGAAUUACGGGGCGGAAAGCGCUCGUAGGCGGUAUGUCCAGGCAAGGGUGAAAUCCCCGCGCUCAACGUGGGAACUGCCUUUGAUUCUGGCAACCUGGAGUGUGUGAGAGGCUAGUGGCAUUCCAGGUGUCGGCG
rnacentral:rRNA from 1 species